GAUGUACUCCCUCCGUUUCAAAAUUCCUGUCUUAAAUUUGUCUAAAUACGGACGUAUCAAGUCACGUUUUAGUAUUAGAUACAUCCGUAUCUAGACAAAUUUAAGACAAGAAUUUUGGGACGGAGGGAGUAUCAU
rnacentral:pre_miRNA from 1 species